rnacentral:lncRNA from 1 species
AUUAGUUUAACAUCUCUAUGUCCAUGACUUGUGAAACAUAGUCAUCAACUAAUACAUGUGCUAGUCUAAUAUUCAUGUGUGUCCUCACAUGAACUCCGACUAGGGACAACUUUAGAAUAACCAUACAAGUAAGAGUUUCACAUACAAUUCACAUAAUUGCAAAUCAAUUCAAGUAGCCUUUAAUGGAUAUUCAAUGAACACAAUAUACAAAUCAUGGAUAUAAUCAGAUAUCAUCAUCUCUAUGAUUGCCUCUAGGGCAUACCUCCAAC